CCCUUAGACGCUCUAGGCGGCACGCGCGCUACAAUGGAAAUGUCAACGUGUUAGGAAUCUGAAGGGAUUCCUGAAUCAUUAGAUACUUCCUUGAAUGGGAUAGUUUGUUGAAAUUUUCGGACUUGAACUAGGAAUCCCUUGUAAACGUGCUCUAGAAUAGCACGUUGAAUACGUCCCUGCCGUUUGUACACACCGCCCGUCGUUUCUUCCGACUGAUACCAAUUGUGAGUUGUGAAGAUCUUAGGAGAAUCGCCGCGAAUGCUUGGUAUUGGAGGAAGAAAAAGUCGUANCA
rnacentral:rRNA from 1 species